GAUGAACGCUGGCGGCGUGCCUAAUACAUGCAAGUCGAGCGAAUGGAUUAAGAGCUUGCUCUUAUGAAGUUAGCGGCGGACGGGUGAGUAACACGUGGGUAACCUGCCCAUAAGACUGGGAUAACUCCGGGAAACCGGGGCUAAUACCGGAUAACAUUUUGAACCGCAUGGUUCGAAAUUGAAAGGCGGCUUCGGCUGUCACUGAGGGCUGGACCCGCGUCGCAUUAGCUAGUUGGUGAGGUAACGGCUCACCAAGGCAACGAUGCGUAGCCGACCUGAGAGGGUGAUCGGCCACACUGGGACUGAGACACGGCCCAGACUCCUACGGGAGGCAGCAGUAGGGAAUCUUCCGCAAUGGACGAAAGUCUGACGGAGCAACGCCGCGUGAGUGAUGAAGGCUUUCGGGUCGUAAAACUCUGUUGUUAGGGAAGAACAAGUGCUAGUUGAAUAAGCUGGCACCUUGACGGUACCUAACCAGAAAGCCACGGCUAACUACGUGCCAGCAGCCGCGGUAA
rnacentral:rRNA from 1 species